rnacentral:rRNA from 1 species
GUGGAUUAGAUACCCCGGUAGUCCAUGCCGUAAACGAUGUCUACUAGCCGUUGGGGCCUUUGAGGCUUUAGUGGCGCAGCUAACGCGAUAAGUAGACCGCCUGGGGAGUACGGUCGCAAGACUAAAACUCAAAUGAAUUGACGGGGGCCCGCACAAGCGGUGGAGCAUGUGGUUUAAUUCGAUGCAACGCGAAGAACCUUACCUGGUCUUGACAUACAGAGAACUUUCCAGAGAUGGAUUGGUGCCUUCGGGAACUCUGAUACAGGUGCUGCACGGUCGUCGCCAACU